GCCCCCCCCCCCCACAAUCCCACCCUCUGCCACCGCACAUUUUCCACCUUCUACUCCAGGUCUUGCACCUGCUACUCCAAAUCUAACUGGACUGGUACUUGAACAAAAAGGACAAGGAUAUGCAGAGACCAACGAGACGCACAACCAAACCAAGAAAGGCCCCUGAGGGGGCUGACCCCCAGCUAUGGCGCAGGUGCCUACUAGUGCCACUCCAGUGCCACCUUGAGGACCCAUAUUUCUGACCAAUUAUAUUAGGCGAUCUGCAUGGAACUUGCACACCUUACUGAACCCAUGCCUAUCUACAAGGGUGCAAAUUUUGAAUGAUAUUGGUCAACAUCAACCUCAGCUAAAGGUGGCUGAACUUUAACCUCCGUUUGUGCAGGCUGCGAUGCUGAAACUUGGCCCAGUUGCAGCACCUUUCACAUGUAUCAGGAUAAUAAAUUUUCAAUGCCCUACAACAAC